rnacentral:sRNA from 1 species
AAGGGCGUGAAUGCCGCUGAGACGGCGC